rnacentral:lncRNA from 1 species
UGCUGGUUGGCGUUAAGUAAGCCCAGCUGUUUACGCUGGAGAAACAAGGGGGACAGAACUCUAAAUUAUUAGUAUGGUAUCUUUAGAAUGACAGGCAGUGGGGCUAUUGCUUGGCUUCUUUAAAAAAAGCAAGUUGGGUAGGCGCCUGUGAAUUCCCCUCCUUUUCCUGUUGGCCUUGACAGCAACUCCUCAAGCCCAGUGAGAUGAUGUCAUAAAACCGGCUCAACCUGUGGAAGGAUCAUGUACAAUCCAGUCUCCGUGGAGUUCUGCCUGCAGCUGUCCACUGAGACAGGCAGAGGACCCAAGCCUGGAGGGUGGCAGCUCUGGGGCAGGUGCAUGGAGACCUGUGGCGAGGGGCAAAGGUGCAGUGAGAAACGGCUGACAGCGGCACUGGAAUCUUUUCUUCAAGAGAAGUAUUUCAUGGAGGUCGCGGACGCAAUACGUAUAAAAGCAGCACACUGUGACAAGUAGGAGAGACAGAUGGAUCCCUACCAUCCAGGCUUUCCCUUCUCCCUACGGCUCGCGGGUACACAGGGGAAAACGGAGAAGCGCCCGGUGGGAAAACCAAGUGAUCGUUUACUUCAAAGCACUGAGUCAGGGCAGUGGAGAAGCGAUGUCCGAAAAUAUGACACUUGCACUUCCGAGAGUUUCAGAUGCUCCCAUUUUGGCAAGAACAAACAAACCAAUGAAAGAACAAUAAAUUCAACUGUGCAAUCAUAGACAGAUUCCAAACAAGGAAAUGCGUGCGUGUAUGCUAGACGCUGAAAGCUACAGGGUUGAUUGCUAAUAAAAUGUCUGUGGAAUCAAAAUAACGUCAGAAAGUUCUUUUAGAAUAUUAAUAAACCGUCAAAAGUAUAUCUCCUGCCUCAAGAUGCGGCUUGUUGCCUGCAAAGAGUUUCCCACAUAUUCUGGAACAAGAGGGAAGUUCGCCUUUGCAGCAGGACAGCUAAGGGAGUGGCUGGGAGGAAGGGAGAAAGCUGUCUUUCCCUCUCUCUUCGUUGUGGCGGGGAUAAAAGAAACGCUCCAGGGCCUCGUCCGUGACUUUCGUCCUUCGAGAGGGCCAGGGGCGCAGGCCGGCUCCAGCCUGCCUUUAGUCAGGCUCUGUGAAUAGCUCUCCGUCCCUGAAUGACGUGAGCGCAGGCUCCAGGGGGAGCGGGUGACUCAGAGCGCAGGAGGCGCGGAGAGUGCGGAGCAGCCAUUAGCACGUCAUUGGUAAUCCCAGCGACACCUUUCACAUCCGCGGUAUUUGUC